GAUGAACGCUGGCUACAGGCUUAACACAUGCAAGUCGAGGGGAAACGACGGGGAAGCUUGCUUCCCCGGGCGUCGACCGGCGCACGGGUGAGUAACGCGUAUCCAACCUGCCUCUGACUGAGGGAUAACCCGUCGAAAGUCGGCCUAAUACCUCAUGGUAUCGUCUGCGGGCAUCCAACGACGAUUAAAGAUUUCAUCGGUCAGGGAUGGGGAUGCGUCUGAUUAGCUUGUUGGCGGGGUAACGGCCCACCAAGGCUACGAUCAGUAGGGGUUCUGAGAGGAAGGUCCCCCACAUUGGAACUGAGACACGGUCCAAACUCCUACGGGAGGCAGCAGUGAGGAAUAUUGGUCAAUGGGCGAGAGCCUGAACCAGCCAAGUAGCGUGCAGGAAGACGGCCCUAUGGGUUGUAAACUGCUUUUGUAUGGGGAUGAAGUUAGGGACGUGUCCCUAUUUGCAGGUACCAUACGAAUAAGGACCGGCUAAUUCCGUGCCAGCAGCCGCGGUAAUACGGAAGGUCCAGGCGUUAUCCGGAUUUAUUGGGUUUAAAGGGAGCGUAGGCUGGAGAUUAAGUGUGUUGUGAAAUGUAGACGCUCAACGUCUGAAUUGCAGCGCAUACUGGUUUCCUUGAGUACGCACAACGUUGGCGGAAUUCGUCGUGUAGCGGUGAAAUGCUUAGAUAUGACGAAGAACUCCGAUUGCGAAGGCAGCUGACGGGAGCGCAACUGACGCUUAAGCUCGAAGGUGCGGGUAUCGAACAGG
rnacentral:rRNA from 1 species